UACGGAGGGUGCAAGCGUUGUUCGGAAUUACUGGGCGUAAAGCGCGCGUAGGCGGUUUGUUAAGUCAGAUGUGAAAGCCCAUGGCUCAACCAUGGACGUGCAUUUGAAACUGGCAGACUUGAGUAUUGGAGGGGGUGGUGGAAUUCCCGGUGUAGAGGUGAAAUUCGUAGAUAUCGGGAGGAAUACCGGUGGCGAAGGCGACCACCUGGCCAAAUACUGACGCUGAGGUGCGAAAGCGUGGGGAGCAAAC
rnacentral:rRNA from 1 species